rnacentral:lncRNA from 1 species
ACGAAACCGUCACGCAACCUUCGUGAAACCCUAACACUGACUCCUUUGUCCACCAUUGCCGCCUCCGCGCAAGGUUGUUCCGCUGACCUUCACGAAACCCUAACGCUCACUCCUCUGUCCGCCAUUGCCGCCUCCGUGCAAGGUUGUUCCGCUGAGCUUCACGAAACCCUAAUGCUCACUCCUUUGUCCGCCAUUGCCGCCUCCGCGCAAGGUUGUUUAAGAUUUGUGCUCACACGCCCUAAACCUCUGUCUUGAGAAUCUUUUAUUUGAAAUUGUUAUAGGUUAAAAUCGUCAACAGGUAAAAUCACAUUGUACUUCUCUCUUUGCACUUGCACACCAUGUAUAUGUGAAAAGUGUUUAGCAGAAACAAUAGUUAAACUCAAAGAGUGUGCAUAUGCAAAUGGGUGAUGCAGUCCCAACAUGUAAUAAAGGGCACGCAUAUACCUUUGUAGCUAUAAGUAAGCAUGCACGUUACCAUGGGGGUUUAACCCCACUAGCUUCUUGAUGAAGCCAUAAAUAAUGCUACUACAACGCAUUGGACUUGUACUCUGUCACUCAAUCUUUACAUAACAGGGGCUGUAACUUUUUCUAUUACACUGAAAACACGCACGCUAUGUGCUCCUUCCAGUUAGGUAGUUACCCUUUUUGUCACACCACCCUUCAUACAACAUGCCACUUUAUGCAAGAGGACCACUCUUAAGGUAAAAUCAGAAUAAUAAUAAAAAGACAAAAAGUAACAAUACUCAUCACAGCCAUAGAACGUGUAAAACUUUUUACUACACUAUUUUCUGCAAUUUAGGAUCACUCACAUACUUCUUUCUCAAACUAUUUAACUCAUCUGCAUAUACUCCCAACUUAAGUUAAACUCUUUUCAUUCAUGAAAAUAUAUGAACCCCUUUGUAUAAUAACUUUAGAUUAAUCCAAUGUACUUUCUGACUCAAACUUAAGGAUUGGUUUAUUGAAAUAGUUAGAGAAUCUUGAGAUUGAUCUUUUAUCACGUGCUUCAAAAUAAGAUUAUUUGUCUGACAAAGAUGUUAUUGGUAGCUCUAUGUGAUUUUAAGUCAACAUAUGUGCAUGCAGCAUUAAUAGAGUUGUGAUUCGUUGUGAUAUAAAACUUUUUACAAGGAACCAUGGAUUUUAGCUCCGUAAAGUUUUUAGAGUUGUUAUUGAUUAGAGAGAUGUAUGGUGUUUAAAAUAAUAAAAGUAGUUGAUAAUAUGCAAUGAUUGAACCCAUUUAUGAAUCAAAAGGUAAAAAAAAAAAACUAAUUGCUGUUGAAAUAUAUCCAAGGUCGUUCUAAAUAAGUGAAUGAGAUAGUUGCAGAAGAGAUAGGAAAAAGAAAAACAAAAGAAGUGCAUGAGAUGGUUCACUGCUGCACGUGGUUUGUAGUUCACUAGGGUGAGUGCAGUUGGUUCACUCAAGCACUGGAGCUCAUAGCAUCUUCAGGUGUCAUGUUAACUCACACCAUUUCUUUGUGUUUGAUGAAUUUUUAAAUUAUUAAUGCAGAAUGCUCAAGGAAUUAUAACUCUAGCCUCUACAUACUCCUGCACCUUGUUCCUUAUAGC